rnacentral:rRNA from 1 species
CGGCGGACGGGUGAGUAAUGUCUGGGAAACUGCCUGAUGGAGGGGGAUAACUACUGGAAACGGUAGCUAAUACCGCAUAACGUCGCAAGACCAAAGAGGGGGACCUUCGGGCCUCUUGCCAUCAGAUGUGCCCAGAUGGGAUUAGCUAGUAGGUGGGGGAACGGCUCACCUAGGCGACGAUCCCUAGCUGGUCUGAGAGGAUGACCAGCCACACUGGAACUGAGACACGGUCCAGACUCCUACGGGAGGCAGCAUG